CUCCAGGACAUUGAUGAUUAGACUUCUGCUGGAAUAAUCCUGAAGAAAUUAUAACAUUUUAAACUAUUACAUUUCUGAAAACAAAAAUCUAUCUCUCUGCAACUAGAAUCAAACCACGUCUUGUUUAUAGUUCUAACAAGUAUGGUUAAGCCCUUGGACAUUCCUGGUGUGUUCUGCUGGUGCAUUGGUUCUGCUUUCUCUGCAAAACUGGUUACAGUUUUCUUUAUUUUUUGUUUUGUUUUGUAGAAUCACACAACUGUAAUAACAGCCAAUGUAGGAUUGUUGGUUUUGUAAAUGUUUUAAAUAUACAACACUCAUUAUUGGGCAGAUUUAAAAAUCAUAAAUACAUUGAUAAAGACUAUAGAGCACUCACUUCACAUCAUAUCAGAUGACCGAACAAAGAUUGAUGGACUCUAUGUUGCUACUCUUUUCCUCUAAUAUUUGCCCUGAUUUCAAGUUGAGCCACAGAAAUCUUGAAAAUAAUGAGAAAAGCAACCAUAAUGACUCAAACUAGCUUGUACCACUCGACUAGAAAAAUUACUCAGAAGGCAGGAUUUUUCUUGAGCUAAGCAUCGAGGGC